UGGGGAAUAUUGGACAAUGGGGGCAACCCUGAUCCAGCAAUGCCGCGUGUGUGAAGAGGGCCUUCGGGUUGUAAAGCACUUUCGGUGGGGACAAACAAGGUGGAGCUAACAUCUCCGCCUCUGAUGGUACCCAAAGAAGAGGCACCGGCUAACUCUGUGCCAGCAGCCGCGGUAAUACAGAGGGUGCGAGCGUUAAUCGGAAUUACUGGGCGUAAAGCGUGCGUAGGUGGUCUGUUAAGUCAGGUGUGAAAUCCUUGGGCUUAACCUGAGAAUUGCAUUUGAAACUAGCAGACUAGAGUGUGGUAGAGGGUAGUGGAACUCCCGGUGUAGCGGUGAAAUGCGUAGAUAUCGGGAAGAACACCAGUGGCGAAGGCGGCUACCUGGAUCAACACUGACACUGAGGUACGAAAGCGUGGGGAGCAAACAGGAUUAGAUACCCUGGUAGUCCACGCCUUAAACGAUGGGUACUAGACGUUGGGAAGUUUAAUCUUCUUAGUGUCGCAGCUAACGCAAUAAGUACCCCGCCUGGGGAGUACGGCCGCAAGGUUAA
rnacentral:rRNA from 1 species